rnacentral:tRNA from 1 species
GCCGCUUUAGCUCAGUUGGUAGAGCAUCGCAUUCGUAAUGCGGGGGUCACAGGUUCGAGUCCUGUAAGCGCACCA